rnacentral:rRNA from 1 species
AUUGAACGCUGGCGGAAUGCUUUACACAUGCAAGUCGAGCGGCAGCGCGGGGCAACCUGGCGGCGAGCGGCGAACGGGUGAGUAAUGCAUCGGAACGUACCCCGUCGUGGGGGAUAACUACCCGAAAGGGUAGCUAAUACCGCAUACGACCUGAGGGUGAAAGCGGGGGACCGAAAGGCCUCGCGCGAUGGGAGCGGCCGAUGCCGGAUUAGCUAGUUGGUAGGGUAAAGGCCUACCAAGGCGACGAUCCGUAGCUGGUCUGAGAGGACGACCAGCCGCACUGGAACUGAGACACGGUCCAGACUCCUACGGGAGGCAGCAGUGGGGAAUUUUGGACAAUGGGCGAAAGCCUGAUCCAGCCAUUCCGCGUGAGUGAAGAAGGCCUCGG